UGCAGUAAAUUUUGACAAUCAGCUGAUUGCAAUAAAUAAUUAAAACUGAAAUUGAAAUUUAAAAAUUUUAAAAUGGAAGUGGAAAGAAAAAAAUAUUGCAACAAUUGCUUUUACUUCUAGUUGCCCAAAAGAAAUUAAUUAAUAUUUUAAGCUUGUGCGCGAUAAGUGAUAAGAAAACACGGGUGUGGACGAUUCCUAUAUAUGCGGAAAAUGAGAGAGAGCUGCAUAGUUUUUUCAAUAAUUUAUUCAUCUAUAUAAAAAACAAUGAUUCCUCUUAGUUUCAAAAGGCUACUCGGAUGCAAGUGGAUCAAUUUAAGCUUCUUCUAAGCUUAAUUAAAAGGCGUAUAGAAAAACAGUUUCAUAUACGUCGUCCAAUACCAGCAGAAUGUCGCCUGGCAAUAACAUUAGUAUGGAGUUUGCCGCCAGAUGUUGGCUUGGGCUUUUCGAGUAGGAGUAUCAACAAUUGGCAAAAUUUUAUU